rnacentral:rRNA from 1 species
GUACGAGAGGACCGGAGUGGACGCAUCACUGGUGUUCGGGUUGUCAUGCCAAUGGCACUGCCCGGUAGCUAAAUGCGGAAGAGAUAAGUGCUGAAAGCAUCUAAGCACGAAACUUGCCCCGAGAUGAGUUCUCCCUGACUCCUUGAGAGUCCUGAAGGAACGUUGAAGACGACGACGUUGAUAGGCCGGGUGUGUAAGCGCAGCGAUGCGUUGAGUUAACCGGUACUAAUGAACCGUGAGGCUUAACCUUACAACGCCGAAG